rnacentral:rRNA from 1 species
GGCAUGCCUAACACAUGCAAGUCGAACGAGAUCUUCGGAUCUAGUGGCGCACGGGUGCGUAACGCGUGGGAAUCUGCCCUUGGGUUCGGAAUAACAGUUAGAAAUGACUGCUAAUACCGGAUGAAGUCUACGGACCAAAGAUUUAUCGCCCAGGGAUGAGCCCGCGUAGGAUUAGCUAGUUGGUGGGGUAAAGGCCUACCAAGGCGACGAUCCUUAGCUGGUCUGAGAGGAUGAUCAGCCACACUGGGACUGAGACACGGCCCAGACUCCUACGGGAGGCAGCAGUGGGGAAUAUUGGACAAUGGGGGCAACCCUGAUCCAGCAAUGCCCGCGUGAGUGAUGAAGGCCUUCGGGUCCGUAAAGCUCUUUUACCCGGGAUGAUAAUGACAGUACCGGGAGAAUAAGCCCCGGCUAACUCCGUGCCA